rnacentral:lncRNA from 1 species
AAGGAAAGAGGAUAAAAAGGGGAAAGGGAAAAGAAGGGGACAGGACAGGUAAGGUUGAGGGCAGAGGGGGAGCUGCUGGCCAAGUCCCCAUGCAGAUGGUGUUCUCUGUGAGGCUGUGGUUAUCGUGGCUGCUGCUGUCAUUCAGAGCAAGGCGCUGUUUUGUUUAAAAGAGGCAUCUCUCCUCAUUAUUUGAAGUACCUCUGUGCAAGAGCUCCUCUGGGAUCCGUGAUAGAAACGAGGAGGGCAGGAACGGCAAAAAUGUAUAUGCUGCGUGCUGGUAAUGGAGCCUUGCUGCUUGAUUGAGGGGCUGAUGGAUGUUAUUGCAGUGCUCUUUUGGAUGCCUUCUCAUUAAGAGGAUCCUCGUGUUUAAGGAGCCAGGAUUGAGGCUCAGGAGAGGAUGGAAAGAUUCUUACCUGUGACAUCGCUCCAUCACGGUCUGUGGUUUCUGGGCUCCGCUCUUUGUUUGGUGUUGUUCUUCUCCCACAGGAAUUCAGCUGCAAGGAUGGCUUUGAGUGCAGGCCUUGCACUUACUUUGUCUCCGUGGCCUUCUGCUCAGUUCUCGUGUUGUGCCAAACCCUGGCUGGGUUUCCAGGUAGUUUUCUAUUCAAGUAUUUGGCAGAUAAAAGGCAGCCAGGCUCUGAGAUCAGACAGAAGUCGGCGCGUUCCCUCCACUGUGGCUGGCGUCCAAGCAUUUCAAUAUGUAAUUUCCACUAAUUUGCAGAACUGUACCGUUAAUUACAUGAAAGAUUUACUUAGAGCUACCCCUUCUGUAAUGUCCUUAAUGCCUGCAUUAACUGCAUUGCUGCUGGCUUGUUAUUUUCCGUCAUUCAGUGAGGUUAGGAUAAUGCAGCUGAUGCUUUCUGCUUACCCAAAACACAUCCUAUUAUGCCAUCUUAUUUUUUUCUUGACCUAAUAACUAAGCCUUGGUCAGAGUAUCUUUACAGGACACAAAUUCCAAUAUUCCACCCUUGUGUGUGACAGAUGUCGUCAUCCCUCCACAGCCCUGCACUGAUGAGCUCAGAGAUGCUCUGGUACAAAGUGCAGAUAUCCAACCCCAAGAAUUUUCUUGCCAUGAGAAUCAACCAAGGGUUGACAUUAGGCAUCCUCGUCACCAUGGGAGUCAAGCAGGGGUUGAUGCUGACCAUCCUCCUCACCAUGAGAAUCAACCAAGAAUUGACACUGGCCAACAUCCUCACCGUGGGAGUCAGCCAGGGAUUGACAGUGACCAUCCUCCUCACCAUGGGAAUCCACCAAGGAUUGACAUUGAUCAUCCUUCUCACUGUUAGAAGCAACCAAGAAUUGGCAUUGGCCACCAUCUUCAUUGUGGGAGUCAACCAGGGAUUGACACUGACCAUCCUUUUCACUGUGGGAAUCAACCAAGGAUUGACAUUGGCCACCCACGGGAAGAAUCUGAUGAAAUCUCAUCACUCAACACCCAUUGACACCAAUGUGGGCUGGAGCAGAGCUGGCAGAGCCCAGGAGGGGACCAGAGCUGCCAAGAAGCAAGCAGUUGCAUGGAUGAAGUGUUGGGGCAAACCCAUGGGAGCCCAUGGUCUGCAGUGGAGCCCAAUGGAGCAGUCUGGGCUGUAGCACAAGGACCUAUUCCCAUUCUCUGCUGCACUGCAAAGAUGGAGCUGGCAUGCUUUCUGUCUGUGCAGAAACAGCCAGCAGAGAGACCUGGACCCAACGGUUUAGAUGGGAAUGCCUUGCUGUCAGGUUGUGUUAGUGGUUCAAACAGAAAGGUACUACACAGCCAAAGCCAGGCAUAUACAACUGACAAAAAAAAAAAAAAAAGGUGAAAGCUGCUCUGGGCUCAUCAAUAACUUUCCGCACAUCCUUGCCUGUGCUCUGAGUUGAGAAAACACAGCAAUGAUCAGCACUCGGGUCAGGAUUUCGUGAGCUGUCCAAGGAGAAUUUACUCUAGCUCCUUCCUGACAGGAGACGGAGGUAUAAAAAACAAUGCAGUGACUUCUGUUCAAGCAAUAGCUGUGUAAAAUAUUGUUCAUCAGAGCUGUAAAGGUUAGCUCAGCAGAGAAAUAAGGUCUGCAGCUUUUGGCUUUGUAUCCCUUUGGGCAAUCCAUUUGCGAGUUUGUUGAAGGCAAGGAGAAAGAUCCAGUGAUUGGAAAGGGGCUGCACUCACCCCAGCACAGUCCCUGAAUUCAGCAUCUUGUUUUUUUCCAUUGGCUUUGAAGUACGUCUGGUCGAUACGGAUUUGUAAAGUGAUUGAAAGGCAUCCACUGCUUUAUCAUAAUAUUUCUCAGGCACUAAAAGUACCUCUGAGUGGCUGCAUUGCACUGACAGGACUUCUUCCUCUCUUCACCCAAAAGCCACCCACCAGCCUCAAUGCUGAGCACGAGAUGAGCAGGCUGAAGGAUGGAGAGGGGUUAAACCAACUAUCCCAAAUCCAACAGUCUCACUCCACUUCUAGCUGUUACCAGAUGGUUAUGAGGAGGGUGAGCCUGGAGUAGUUGGUUCUAGAACAUCCCAGUCACAGGGAAAGUUUCCUAAUGCUGACUAUUUCUCAGUCAUUUCUAUAGAACUCAUGGAAUCCCAGUAUGGCUUGGGUUGGAAGGGACCUGAAAGAUCAUCC